GCUGACACAUUCCAGCCAAUCAGCAGCAGACCCUCCCUCCCAGACCCUCCCAACUCCUGGACAGCAUCCAUUUUGAAGCUGCAUUCUUAGUGAGCUGUCCAGGAGGUGGGAGGGUCUGGGAGGGAGGGUCUGCUGCUGAUUGGCUGGAAUGUGUCAG